rnacentral:lncRNA from 1 species
UUAAUUCUUGAGGUUUUGCAUGAAGAAUUCCUAUAAAGAACAGGUCCACAUAGCGGAGUCUAGCUAUUGGUUUAACUUGAUUGUAUUAGGAGUCUUCUUCGAAUUCUAAUUAUCUAUGAUUCAUAGUUUUAGUAUGUUAUAAAUUGGAUUGGAAGUUAGUCAUUAAGUUGGGAUAACUUGAAGGCCUGGAUAUACGAGUCAUGAGAGGUUUGUAUGUUGUUAGAAAUUAGAGUUUAUAAUUCCUUUUUAAGUUCCAAAGUAAAUAAUCGUUUGUUUGAGUGGCUCC